rnacentral:rRNA from 1 species
GUCUUUUUGAGAAUAAUUUAAAGUCUGAUCUGCCCACUGAAAUUUUAAAUGGCUGCAGUAUUUUGACUGUACAAAGGUAGCAUAAUAAUUAGUUUUUUAAUUGAAAGCUUGUAUGAAUGAUUUGACGAGAAAAAAUCUGUCUCUAUUUUAUUUGAUUAGAAUUUUAUUUUUAAGUCAAAAAGCUUAAAUUAAAUUAAAAGACGAGAAGACCCUUUAGAGUUUUAUAUUAUUUAAUAUUUUAAAUAUUUAUUUUUAUAGUUUAAAAUAUUUGAUAAUAAUUUGUUGGGGUGACCGAAAAAUUUAAUAAACUUUUUUUAAAUUUUAACACUUAUUUAUGAUUAAAUGAUCCUAUAUUAUGAUUAAAAGAUAAAAUUACCUAAGGGAUAACAGCGUAAUAUCUUUAAAGAGUUCAAAUCGAAAAAGAAGAUUGCGACCUCGAUGUUGGAUUAAAAUAAAUGAUUGGUGUAGAAGCUAUUCUAUUAAGUCUGUUCGACUUUUAAAAUUUUACAUGAUCUGAGUUUAGACCGGCGUGAGCCAGGUUGGUUUCUAUCUUUAAUAAUAUUUAAUUUUUUAGUACGAAAGGACCAAAUAUUAAUAAAAAUUAUUUAAAUUAGAUU